GUGCUCACUUCAGCAUCACAUGUACUAAAAUUGAAACAAUACAGAGAAAAUUAGCAUGGCCCCUGCGCAAGGAUAACACGCAAAUUUGUGAAGCGUUCCAUAUUUAA
ensembl:snRNA U6 U6 spliceosomal RNA